GAUGAACGCUGGCGGCGUGCCUAAUACAUGCAAGUCGAGCGAACGGACGAGAAGCUUGCUUCUCUGAUGUUAGCGGCGGACGGGUGAGUAACACGUGGAUAACCUACCUAUAAGACUGGGAUCACUUCGGGAAACCGGAGCUAAUACCGGAUAAUAUUUUGAACCGCAUGGUUCAAUAGUGAAAGACGGUCUUGCUGUCACUUAUAGCUGGAUCCGCGCUGCAUUAGCUAGUUGGUAAGGUAACGGCUUACCAAGGCAACGAUGCGUAGCCGACCUGAGAGGGUGAUCGGCCACACUGGAAGUGAGACACGGUCCAGACUCCUACGGGAGGCAGCAGUAGGGAAUCGUCCGCAGUGGGCGAAAGCCUGGCGGAGCGACGCCGCGUGAGUGAUGAAGGUCUUCGGAUCGUAAAACUCUGUUAUUAGGGAAGAACAGAUGUGUAAGUAGCUGUGCACAUCUUGACGGUACCUAGUCAGAAAGCAACGGCUAACUACGUG
rnacentral:rRNA from 1 species